UGCUAAUGGUCUGCCAAUCACGUGUCCCC
rnacentral:piRNA from 1 species